GAAAUGCGAUAAGUAAUGUGAAUUGCAGAAUUCAGUGAAUCAUCGAAUCUUUGAACGCACAUUGCGCCCGCUAGUAUUCUGGCGGGCAUGCCUGUUCGAGCGUCAUUUCAACCAUCAAGCCCCAGGCUUGCGUUGGAGCCCUGCGGCCGCCGCAGCCUCCGAAAUACAGUGGCGGGCUCGCUAUCACACCGAGUGCAGUAGAAUACUCUUCGCUCAGGGCGUGCGGUGGGUUCUGGCCGUGAAACACCCCCCUUCCACACAAGGUUGACCUCGGAUCAGGUAGGAGUUACCCGCUGAACUUAA
rnacentral:misc_RNA from 1 species